UGCAAGUCGAGCGGCAGCACGGGUACUUGUACCUGGUGGCGAGCGGCGGACGGGUGAGUAAUGCCUAGGAAUCUGCCUAGUAGUGGGGGAUAACGUUCGGAAACGGGCGCUAAUACCGCAUACGUCCUACGGGAGAAAGUGGGGGAUCUUCGGACCUCACGCUAUUAGAUGAGCCUAGGUCGGAUUAGCUAGUUGGUGAGGUAAUGGCUCACCAAGGCGACGAUCCGUAACUGGUCUGAGAGGAUGAUCAGUCACACUGGAACUGAGACACGGUCCAGACUCCUACGGGAGGCAGCAGUGGGGAAUAUUGGACAAUGGGCGAAAGCCUGAUCCAGCCAUGCCGCGUGUGUGAAGAAGGUCUUCGGAUUGUAAAGCACUUUAAGUUGGGAGGAAGGGCAGUUACCUAAUACGUGAUUGUUUUGACGUUACCGACAGAAUAAGCACCGGCUAACUCUGUGCCAGCAGCCGCGGUAAUACAGAGGGUGCAAGCGUUAAUCGGAAUUACUGGGCGUAAAGCGCGCGUA
rnacentral:rRNA from 1 species